rnacentral:rRNA from 1 species
AGGGAAUUUUCCACAAUGGACGAAAGCCUGAUUGAGCAACGCCGCGUGAACGAUGAAGGUCUUCGGAUUGUAAAGUUCUGUUGUUAGGGACGAAACCGUACCGUUCGAACAGGGCGGUACCUUGACGGUACCUAAUUAGAAAGCCACGGCUAACUACGUGCCAGCAGCCGCGGUAAUACGUAGGUGGCAAGCGUUGUCCGGAAUUAUUGGGCGUAAAGCGCGCGCAGGCGGCUAUGUAAGUCUGAUGUUAAAGCCCGGGGCUCAACCUCGGUUCGCAUUGGAAACUGUGUAGCUUGAGUGCAGAAGAGGAAAGCGGUAUUCCACGUGUAGCGGUGAAAUGCGUAGAGAUGUGGAGGAACACCAGUGGCGAAGGCGGCUUUCUGGUCUGUAACUGACGCUGAGGCGCGAAAGCGUGGGGAGCAAAC